rnacentral:rRNA from 1 species
AACGAACGCUGGCGGCAGGCCUAACACAUGCAAGUCGAACGCCGUAGCAAUACGGAGUGGCAGACGGGUGAGUAACACGUGGGAACGGACCUUUCGGUUCGGAAUAACUCAGGGAAACUUGAGCUAAUACCGGAUACGUGCGAGAGCAGAAAGAUUUAUCGCCGAAAGAUCGGCCCGCGUCCGAUUAGCUUGUUGGUGAGGUAAUGGCUCACCAAGGCGACGAUCGGUAGCUGGUCUGAGAGGAUGAUCAGCCACACUGGGACUGAGACACGGCCCAGACUCCUACGGGAGGCAGCAGUGGGGAAUAUUGGACAAUGGGCGAAAGCCUGAUCCAGCCAUGCCGCGUGAGUGAUGAAGGCCUUAGGGUUGUAAAGCUCUUUUGUCCGGGAAGAUAAUGACGGUACCGGAAGAAUAAGCCCCGGCUAACUUCGUGCCAGCAGCCGCGGUAAGGUCGUCAUGU